GAUGACAAAUGACGGAAACGUGCGAGCGCAUAUAGAACACCGUGAAUGCGUGAACAAUGUCGUGCAGGCGACAGAUACAGACGAUGAAACAUUCACACAAUGGAGUUUGGGAAUCCAAAAUAACGAUGAUUACGCAAAAGUUUUAGGUAUAAGCUGGGAUUGCGACAAUGAUCUGUUCAUGUUCGACCUGCAAUAGUUUGUAGGAGACUUGGGUGACAAGAAGCUAACUAAACGAAACCUGCUGAGCGCAGUAGCAAAGAUAUUUCAUCCGCUAGGAUUAAUUAGCUGCGUAAUAGUUUUGACGAAAAUCUUGUUUUAGCAGCUGUGCGUAGAAAAGAUUGAUUGGGAUGACGAGAUAAGCAGAAAUUACGCCGGUCUAUACACCGAAUGGAUUGAAGAUCUAAACCGUGUUAAGACUAUUAAGCUAAGUAGAUGCAUCUAUAAAUCCCGCUGAUUUAAGAAGCAGGGGAGUGUUUGCGUCAAAGAUACGUGAGCAAUCACUUUGAUGGACAGGACCAAGGUGGCUGAGUAGCGUAGAAAGAGAAUGGCCGCAAUCAGAGGUAGGCGUAACUGAGGAGAGUAAAGAAGAAGAAAAGCGAACGGCACUAUUAGUAGUAGAUACUAACGAAGAAAUAGGUAUUCAGAACAUGAUCUCUAUAGAGAGGUACAGUAGGGUUGAGAAGUUAUUCCGGGUAACGGCAUGGGUCACACGAUUUGUCAGGAAUUUGAUCGCUAGGAUCAAAGGGAAACAUGAAGAUUUAACCUUCACGGAAUUAGGGAGUCA